GCCAGACUCCUACGGGAGGCAGCAGUGGGGAAUAUUGCACAAUGGGGGAAACCCUGAUGCAGCAACGCCGCGUGAAGGAAGACGGUUUUCGGAUUGUAAACUUCUGUUCUUAGUGAAGAAGAAUGACGGUAGCUAAGGAGCAAGCCACGGCUAACUACGUGCCAGCAGCCGCGGUAAUACGUAGGUGGCAAGCGUUGUCCGGAAUUACUGGGUGUAAAGGGAGCGCAGGCGGGAAGCCAAGUCAGCUGUGAAAACGACGGGCUUAACUUGGAGACUGCAGUUGAAACUGGUUUUCUUGAGUGAAGGAGAGGGUGGCGGAAUUCCGAGUGUAGCGGUGAAAUGCGUAGAUAUCACGAAGAACCCCGAUUGCGAAGGCAGCUUACUAAACUGUGACUGACAUUGAUGCUCGAAAGUGUGGGUAUCAAACAGGAUUAGAUCCCCCUGUA
rnacentral:rRNA from 1 species